GCCCCUCGCACGAGGGUGCCGCUUGCACGGGACCCAGCUGUUUUGGGGGUGCCCCUUGCACACGGGUGCUCUUUGCACGGGGGCUCAGACCACGUUGCGCGGCCUCGCGCGCUCCCCUUGCACCCUUGUCCCGUCUUGCACGCUCCCCGUGCACCCUUGGACCAUGUUGCACGCUCCUAGUGCACCCUCGUCCAGUGUUGCACGCUCCCCUUGCACCCUCAGACCACGUUGCUCGGCCUCGCACUCUCCCAUUGCACCCUUAUCCCCUGUUGCACGGCCUUGCACGCUCCUGGUGCACCCUCGUCCAGUGUUGUACGGCCUCGCACGCUCACUGUGCACCCUCGGACCAUGUUGCACAGCCUCGCACACUCCCCUUGCACCCUCGUCCAUUGUUGCACGGUCUUGCACGUUCCCUAUGCACCCUUGCCCUGUGUUGCACGCUCCUCUUGUACCUUUGGACCACGUUGCGCGGCCUCGCACGCUCUCCGUGCACCCUUGUCCCGUCUUGCACGCUCCUAGUGCACCCUUGGACCAUGUUGCACGGCCUUGCACGCUCCUAGUGCACCCUCAUCCAGUGUUGCACGGCCUCGCAUGCUCCCCUUGCACCCUCGUCCUGUCUUGCACUUCCUACUGCACCCUUGGCCCAAGUUGCACGGCCUUGCACGCUCCCCUUGCACCCUUGAGCCAUGUUGCACGGCCUUGCACGCUCCUAGUGCACCCUUGGGCUGUGUUGCACGGCCUCACACACUCCUCUUGCACCCUCGUCCAGUGCUGCAUGGUCUUGCACGCUCCCCGUGCACCCUCGGGCCAUGUUGCACGGCCUUGCACGCUCCUAGUGCACCCUUGUCCCAUGUUGCACGGCCUCGCACGCUCCCCUUGCACCCUUGAGCCAUGUUGCACGGCCUUGCACGCUCCUAGUGCACCCUUGGGCUGUGUUGCACGGCCUCACACACUCCUCUUGCACCCUCGUCCAGUGCUGCAUGGUCUUGCACGCUCCCCGUGCACCCUCGGGCCAUGUUGCACGGCCUUGCACGCUCCUAGUGCACCCUUGGGCUGUGUUGCACGGCCUCACACACUCCUCUUGCACCCUCGUCCAGUGCUGCAUGGUCUUGCACGCUCCCCGUGCACCCUCGGGCCAUGUUGCACGGCCUUGCACGCUCC
rnacentral:lncRNA from 1 species